rnacentral:RNase_P_RNA from 2 species
AUUUUCAGGUAAUCGCGGUUUGUUUGAACAAGCUGAGGAAAGUCCAUGCUCGCACAAGCUGCGAUGCUUGUAGUGUUCGUGCUUAGCGAAACCAUAAGCUAAGGUACUCUUUUAGAGUAACGGCAGAAAAAACAGCUAAGGUCUUUGGCUAUGCUGGAGUAUUCUUGAAAGUGCCACAGUGACGAAGCGUUUGGAGAAAUCCAAACGGUGGAACGCGGUAAACCCCUCGAGCGAGCAACCCAAACAAUGGUAGGGGCGCUUUUCUAAGUAGGAAUUGAACGAAAAGAAGAGCCAGUGAAAACUGGAGAUAGAUGAUCACCACUGAAGUAGAUUCUCCCUGAGUCUAUUUCGGUACAGAACAUGGCUUAUAGAA